ensembl:lncRNA
AGGACUCUACUGAGAUGGAUUAUUACUCAAAGUGCUCUAAUUCCCAACUGGUGUUUUUCUGUGGUCACUACUGCAUCCCUGGCCUCUCCGGACUUAGCGCUGUUGGGCAAAUUGCCUGGCCUCCGGAAUGCAGCUUGUGUGUCCGUGCCAGUUCUUAGUGCCCUGGAGUCCUCCAGUCCUGAUAAAAGUCUUCAGCCACAGAUUAAGCCAGAAGCUACUGUAUGACCACAAGGAUCAGAGGAGCCCUGCCUCUCUUUACUGGGAUGGCCUUUGGGGGAAGUUUAGCUGGGUCACGCCUGUCCCGGCCCGCGGUACUGGAGAAACCAAAAACCCACCAACAACCAGCCUGGAAGGAGAACCUGCCUGAGUUCAGAUAAGGCUCUACCACUUCCGAGUUGGCCGACUUCAACUUUUGAAAGCCAAUGGAAUAUGAAAAUAAAGAGAAAAAACUAUCUGUGGAAACAAAAACAUGUCACAAGGACAAUGCUAGAGUAUAUAGUUAUAAAAAAGGUAGCUGUCUGAGACAAGGACCAUACAUUACUGUGAGAAACAGAAAUGUAUUAACUAGAAUAUAUAAAGAACUCAAAAAAGAAAAAAAGACGCAGUCAAAACAUGAGCAACGGAAAAGAACAGACACUUCUCAGAAGAUGUACAAAUGGCCAAUUACAUCUCCUUAGAGUCUUUUGCAGAUGGUAAUGUAAUGUGAUUGCAUUCUUGAAAGUGCGAUGUGAACAACAUUGCUGGAUACAGUUUCUGCUUCACUUGUUUGAAGAUAAGCAAAAAACAAAGCCUGAGGUUGGAAUGCUCAAUAGUAUGGAAGAAAAGGAGUAGCAGGGUGCCUGGAGGUGGGCAGAAGUGGGCACAGGCCAAGCCAGUCUUGGUGCAGACCCUGAAUUUUGUUUUGCAAGAAACAUCUGAGCCAAGUAAUGGUCUCCUGUGAGGUUUGUUUCCUGGAGGAGUCCAGAAAGAAGCUGUUCUCUGCUGAACCAUGGGUCAAGGAAAAUGUUGACAGAACUAUCAACUCUCAAUUUCCUAAACUUGGCAGGGUUCAAACUUCCAAGACAAAGCUGAUAGUGUCAAGGUAAACAUGAAGGUUUUUAAUAUGGAUACCAAUCUCUAGGAAGGGCAUUAGGAAAUCCCUCAGUUAUCACGGUGAAACCACCAUCACCACUCAGCUAAGGUGCAAGUAGCAAUCAAGUCAUUCCUGAUUAUCUCAACCAGCAAUCAAGACUUUCCCCUGGGAUUGGUCUGACCUCGGAAGACAAUGAGGCAAGUCCCAACAAGGAGGAGCCAUCUGCUCGGACGGCAGGGUAGAGAAUAUGACAUAGACUGGUGCACAAAAGCCAUUUAAGCAGAACACUAGGGAGAGACCUUGAGGUGACUUCCACAGCCCAGUUGCUGUUUCUUUUUUGAGAAAGUGAGCAAUGGCCCGAAGCUAGAAAUGCAAAAUGCAUCCCUCAAUAUAAGUAUUCAUCACACACCUAAAUCUUACAUUUUAUAGUUGUCAGACAUUUUAGCUUUCACAAAGUCUGAGUUUAGAUUUUGAAAGGUUUUUCACAACUUUGAAGUGCAUUUAGUAAAUGUAUAGUCUAAUUUUAUCCAAACUAUUAGCUCCAUACCUACAGAUGGCUUUGAAUGUACCAAAAGAAUUUAUUUUGCUAGAUAUGAGAAGUGGCUGGUUCCUCUGACAUGGCAACCCUGUAGUUGUCACCUCUUGGGGAGUUUCACAGUGAAGUUAGUUGUUAUUAAAAGGAACAUCAGAAUUCAGCUGGAGUCUUGGAAGAAAAUCAAGUUUUGUCUGUUUGUACAAAGAUAAAAGUCAGUGUCAGAUUUCUGAGCUCUUUAGAUUAGAAAGAUGUUUGGACUUGAAAAAUAAAGACCCAAGAGAAGGAGGUGUUCAUAUUAGAGCUGCUAUGCUGUCAUGAGAGGAUCUCUUAGAUCUCUUAUAGCAGGGUCAUUGGGGAGGAAAGAAGAUUAUCAAUGUGACUGUCAUACUGAAGGCAAUUUUUAUCAAGGUCCAAAAGUAAAUUUUCAAUAAAUAAUCUGAUUCUUGCUAAAUGACUCACACGGAGGUGGCUUUGAUUCUCACUCAAGUAAACAAAAAUUCGAGACAGCAUAGGCAAUGCUUGUUGAAUUUACUUGGAUGAAACUGUUUAUUUGAAAUAAAGCACAAAGCUAUUUUCUUUUUGCUGCAUUGUGGGUGCAAUAUCCAUAUCAUGACAUUAAGUAGGAGAGGAAUGGAACUAUGGUAUUGCUGUGGGUCUCUCAGAGUGCGAGAGAGAUACUACAGACAAAAGAAAGUUCUAAACGUUAAAGAAGUAAGUUUUAAUUUUGCUGCUUGAAAUUGUAGUAAUCACUGAUAGGUACUUAAUUUAAAAUUAUUUUUCAGUUGAACAAAAAGGGACUAUGCACAAUAUAUAGCUUAAGAGUAAUAAGUUAGGGGGCCGGGGAUUUAGCUCAGUGGUUCCGGCGCCUGCCUUGCAAGUGCAAGGUCCCGAGUUCAAUCUCCGGUACCCAAAACAAAGAAUAAUAAAUUAGGAAAGUAAGGUAAAAACUUAGAGUUGCCUCUCUCACAGAUAAUAUUUUUAGCUUGAAGACAAUCUGACCAAUGUGAGGUUCUGGGAAGUUAAAAAGAGCUUCCGAAAUGAAAUGUUGCUGAGACAUAUAUUUUAACUUAUAGUUUGCGAGAUUUGUUUUUUCCCCUGAUGAUAAGUGAGGAGAGAGCAACUGGAGAAAAGCAAAGAUAUGUUUCAGUUGAGACUAUGCCAGAACAGUGACUCACAGCGUCCUAAUCAGGCAGGCAUGACAGCUCAUUGAAUAAGGCCCACCCCACCCACCCUGGAAAUUGUUCUUUGCCCAAGCUCAGCACCCUGAAAACGACUUUCUAGACAUGUCACCAUGCUUGCUGUGGAUUGUCAAGGAAACUAUGAAAAUGCUGACCAAGGCAGGGGUUAAGUUAUUAUAUGACCAAGGCUGCCUUUUCAGAUAGGCUCAGCUCUGAGUGUCUGUGUAUUUGCGCACAUGUGCAUGUUUAAUUAAAGAAGCGUUUUUAUGUAUGUCUUUUUGAUUUGCUGUACAUUUUCCUAGCAAUUAAUAUUUAUGCAUAUUUAUAUGACCCACCCAUCUUUUGAUAAAAAUUGCCAUAAUCAUUUCUGUUUAUGUUUUUUUCACAUAUGACUUGUAGGAUUAUAUGGGUUAAAUAAAUUUAUGGCUUAAAGGAACUUUUAAACUCCUCAUCUUGUAGAUGGAAAAUAGAGGCCUUAUCCACCAGGGGUGGCCUUUGGUCAGCCUCAUAUAACAGCCAGGACCAAAAUCCAGUCUCUCUACUUAUGUUAUGAGUUUAAAGAAUUAUUUCAACAGUUAUACAAGAUUGAAUAUGCUUUACAAAUUGUUGUUAAUGAAAACUGCAGAAACACUAAGUAUUUUGGUUUAAAUUCAUGGUUUCACAGCAUGACCAUGCCUUGAAUCAUUUCGGAAAUUAAAAAAAAAAAGAAAAUUUGAAAAAAGAGUUAAAAAAGAACCAAUACAGAUCUAGUGACUCAGAAUCUGAUAAGGGUGUACCAAAGCAUUAGAAUAUUUAGAAAAUUCUCCUGUUUUUAAUGGAUUUCUAAUGUAGUGUGUAUAGAUCAGUGUUGAGAAAGCAGGCAUAUGUCUAUUUUUCAAGAUGAUUGGAUAGAAAGUAGGCUGAACUAUCCAGCUAAAGUAGCUAAACUAGCUACCUACUGAAGAAAUAAAAUCAUAAGAGUUUAGCUUAGGGAAACUCAACUAGUUUUAAUAUCAAGCUAUUUCUUUCAUGCUCUCUCGUCACUAUUUCAUUAUGGCAGUUGUAAGAGAAACUCAGAACCUCCACUAUUAUUAAAAGGCAAACCUAUUGGCUUUUGCUAUGAACAAAAGGACUGCUAGAAUAUUUUAAAACAGGAACUUAGUGUUUUGAUUGAAUCCUAAAUAAAUACCCAAUAGAUAUUAAUGAAAUCUACUCUGUUAUUUCUUUUCUUUCCUUUUCUUUUUUUUUAAGUAAUUGCAGGAUCUCUGUAUUGGUUGGUGUGAAGAAUAACACAAUAGGGGAGAUAACAGCUUCCUGGGCCCUAUUAUUGAUCAAAUGGCAAAUCUGGCCUCAUGAAAAUCAGGCAAAAUCACAGGCCGUACUUUAUGUGCACAGGUUACAUUUCACAUAAGAUUUUAUUAAUCCUAGUAGUCAAAUCUUUUCUAUGAUCUUCCUAAUUUGUGCCCCUGCUCAUGACUUCAAUGGCCUAUCUAAUCAAGAGACCAAGGAAGAUGUUUCUGACUGUGUCAUUUUUGAUAUCCCAAUUAGGUCCGGAUGCAACAGCUUGGACCUUAGGGACAUCAUUUGUCAUAGGGGACCGCUAGUGUGUUCUCUCCUUAAUGCUCUUUCAGUAUCCUGGGGCAGCAUGUUCCUUCCCCUGGAGAUCCAUUCUCCUUUCCUUUUGUCUUCACAUUUGUAAUAUUUCUCUCAUCAGGCCACAGGAGUGGACACAUGACUCAAGACCAGCAGCACAAAGUCUUCUUAGGAUUAUUUCAAAUGGCAACUAGAAAAAACCAAAACAAAACACUUCCCUUCUCUGUUGAAGGCACAAGACAAUUCAUCAUAGGAGUGAAUUUCAGGCAAAGGAAGGGGGCCCUAAAAGGGCAUAAAAGCUUCCCUGCAAUCUUGGAGUCCUUUUCUAUCGUCCUGUGAUCCCCCUUUCCUACCAUCCUCUGCUUCAGUUCUUUGCUUCUGUGAAGCAAUAGGCUUUUCUUUCCAGUCUCAGUAGUAUGGAUGGGCUUCUGUAACUUGUAACUGAAAUGGCUUUAAUUCAAGAAAACUUCAAAAUGCCCUAGAUUUCACAUGCCAUUUAGGGGAAAUCCAUACUGUUUGCCUUUUUCCCACAAUGGACUUGAAGAGAUGGGAUGGCCGAAGCAACUUUACUGCCAGCUGUUCUCUCAGAAAUUUUUGUUGCUGGAUAUUCUCUGGAAAAAUUGAAAGAGAUAACAAUUGACAACAACAACAAUGAAAGCCUCUUAGAAAAUGUCAGAUUAAGCCCAGAGGAACAGUAAAGACAGCAGAUCUCAAUAGUUGUUGACAUUUGUAUAAUACAAAUACAAAAUUACAACAUUUUGUAUUUAUGGUUUUGUGCAAAUACUUGAAAUGCACACAUCAGUUCUUCAAUAGAAGAAGCAUAAUGUUGUGUUUUCAGUUCAAAAUACCAGUAAAUUUGGAAAAAUCUUCCUGAGUAAGCUAAAUUUAUUUUUAUGUGUUUUAAAGUGCUGAUAGGACCUUAUUUAUAUUUUUCUUCAAUUUACAAAGAUUUUUGUCUUUCGACUAAUUGUAUUAUUUUAUCAAGAACUUUAACUGAUUUGAAAUGAUCAAUUCUUUUUCCCAUUAAGUUUAUUGGUACAUUUUAGGUAUAAAAUACAGUUACAUUCACCAUUGGGAUCUUGUAUCAUUACAUGAGUAUCUUGGUUCUUUUUUUUCCCCCUUCCUCUGCCCUCCCUUCACCCCCUCCACCCUUCUCUAUUUGCAAAGAUUUUGUUUCCAUUUUUUUCCUUUUCUCAUAUUUUUUCUUUUUCCUUCUUUCCUUUCCCCUACCCCUCCCACUUCCCCUGCUCCUUUAGAACUUUACUUCCUAUUACACAAUAUCAAUUAUACAUUUUAAAAAUUAAAAUAUCAAGACCUAGGAGACAUUACCAGAUUUUUCAGAAUUUAAAAGGAUAUAGAAAGCAUAUUGCAAAAAUCUGUUUUGCAAUAAAUUUGACAACUUCUAAGAAGUACCUUAGAAGACAAAUUAAUGAAACUAACUCUGGAGGAAAUAUAAAAUUUGAAAAGCACCUAUUAAAGAAAGUAUAUUCCUAGCUUGAAAACCUACCUAUAUGACAACAACAGGCUCACAUACAUUUUAACUGAUAAAUUAUAUCAAACAUUUAAAGCAGGAAAGCAAAAAGGAACACUUCUCCCCUCAUUUUAGGAAAUUAACAUUGUGCUAAUCCUAAAACUGGGUAAAGAUAAUAGAAGAAAAAAGCAUGAACAUAGAUAAAAAUUUGUUUAACAAAACAAACUAUUAGAAGUCAGAUCUGGCAGUAUGUAGAAAGUGGUUUUAUUAUAGGGAUAGCAGUGUUGGUUCAGCAUUGGAAGAUCCACCCCUAAAGUCAUCUGAAAUGAUCAAUGUUAUUGCCAGAAUUUAUCGCUUUGAUCCUGUGUUAUCUAUAAUAUUAGUUUGGGUUUAUACUUGACCUAAGCAUAUUAAAUAUUUUCUAACUUUCAAGCAACAAUACUAUCCAAGUAUUUCUUUUAUGUUCUGAACAAUUAUAAUUAUGUUUCAUAUAUUUGCAUUAUUUAGCACUUGAUAAAGUUUCACUUUUGACAUUCAUAGUAGUGUUUAGGUAUAUCAUGUUUUUAUUCAUAUUAGCCCAGUUGACAAAGCCUUUUGUAGUUUCGGUCUCCAUACUCAAAUGUUUGAGUCAUAAUCAAAGAACCAUCACAGUUUUAGAAUUUGCUGAAUGUGGUAUUUCUUGCAUCAGAUGAAGACAUGAAUAACACGUUGUAUGGCCACAGGUGAUGCUGACUAUAGGCCAAUUUGUAUUUGUGACCUGCAUGAGAGAAUCGAUAGGCAUGUAUUUGCAUUUCUAAUCACUAAGUACUUAUUGAGAACACACUGGAUGCUAUGCUCAGCAUUUGAUAUAUAAAUUGUGGACGAGUCGACAUGAGUGUAGGGCAUGAAUUAACCAACACAGCAUCAUUAUAAAACACAGGGCCUAAAUUGUACUUCUCCUUCACUUUCAUUAGAAAUUCAAAAAAAGGAAAAAGUAGGCUAGAUUUGUUUAUCUGGAAAAUACAAGUACUGUGUAGUAUCAAAAUGAUAUAGGCAGAAAAAAAGCAAAGAGAUUUCAGCCAUCUGAAGUAGACUCCUCCUAUGUAAUACCUUGAUCAAAUGCUUAAUUUGCCUACAUCUGACCUGACCAAUGGAGUCAAAGAACUCAGUACCUUGUGAGGAGGUCCUUUGUCCCAUCUUAGUUUAAUCAUAAUGUUCUUCAUGUUUAAUUGAGAUUAAUCAGAACAGAAACUUCUGGCCCCUUCUGGCAAUUGGGCCUCUACUGUCUGGAGAGCCUAGGGUGUUCAUUCAAUCUGACACCUGUCAAGAAGAGCCCAGCACCCCUCUUCUCAUCCCAUGUCCUCCACAAAAGGAAUGUUCGUGUCUGUGAGGUUUCCUGGAGUUUGUAAAAACCUGUACAUUGCCCAGGAAAAAGAUGCUCCAACUCUCUUAUCUUUAUUUGGAACAGUCCAUGCUAGAGUUUUUUUGUUUUUUGUUUUUUUAAUGCGAUGGAAGAAAAGAGGAAACAAUGGAUAGAGAUUUUUAACUUGAUACUUUCCCAGGUUCCAGGCCUUCUGGCGGAAGCAGGCCUUGAAGCCUGCGUAUGCGUCACUGGAUUUAAUCCUUCUAGCAACACCGUGAAAUCUGUAUCCUUCUCUGUAUUCCUUAUGAGAAAUUUGAAGCUUGGAGAAAAUAAAUAAAGCUGAACAUUUUCUCUUCACCCAUUGUGGCUUUCUGUUUCCUUCUUUUAAAGAAAGUUCUUUAUGAAGCUAUGCAUUUAGCGUGAUCUUAUACAUUUUUAUCCAAUCUAGUACAUUUUUGGCAGUGAUAGGAGUCAAUGUUUUAAGUAUGUCCUCACAAAACAGACUGUCUGAAUAAAGCUGAACCUCUGGUCACCAUAAUUUAAGGUCAUUCAUAAGCCCCCAGGAAGUCCUGGCUAUAAGCAUUGUAGUUUAAAGACUUGGCUGUAGUCACUGAAGCUUUGGUUUCUCACUUGCAUGGCCUCUGUCUCUAUGUAGAGUAGAUGAAAAGAUCAUUUUACAUCAGCUUCCACUCUGGAUGUUUUCUUAUUUGUAGAAGGGGUGCAUGUGAACCUACGUUCACUUGGGUACUUAGCAAAAUUCCCAACAAAAAUGACUUCUUUAGCUCUCCCAGGACAGUGGUUGAGAAGACAUUCAGUUCCAGAUGGCAGUGUUCCUGCUACUCAGAGGGCAGGCUCCCUUUAUCUGUCAACUGAUUCAGUUUCUCAAGGGCUGAACAGGUUGGGACUGCUCUCCAACCUUUGCCCAUUCCUCUGGAAUUGCUAUGCCUACAGAUCUCGGUAAAACAUAAAAUUAGUGUUUGUAGAAUCCCUCUUGAGAUCCUUGAUGAGAGAUGGGUUGAUACUAUAAAGUAGUAUUAUCAUAAAUAGACCCUGGGAUUAUGUUCUGGGGAUUAUAAACUAUAGUCUCAACAUUUAACACCAUAUGAGAUGAAUGUCAAGCAUCCACUUGCCAGUAUCUUUUAUUUUCACUAUAUUGUAUUAAUGAAUGUUUUAUCAAUCCAUAGUAAAAAAUACUUUGCGU